AUUCAACUGACGAGUUUCAAAUUGGACGAAAUGCGCAUCGUGGAU
rnacentral:hammerhead_ribozyme from 1 species